rnacentral:rRNA from 1 species
UGGUGGAUUGAUUUGUCAGGUUGAUUCCGACAACGAACGAGAUCCAAGCUUUCUAGUUCUGGGGGUUCUCAUCUUUGGACCUCCCUUCAGGUUAGAAGGACGGUGUUGGCUUACAACAAUGAAGGGUUGGGCGAUAACAG